rnacentral:rRNA from 2 species
UACGUAGGGUGCGAGCGUUAAUCGGAAUUACUGGGCGUAAAGGGUGCGCAGGCGGUCUCGUAAGCUGGGUGUGAAAGCCCCGGGCUUAACCUGGGAAUGGCAUUCAGGACUGCGAGGCUUUGAGUGCGGCAGAGGGAGGUGGAAUUCCACGUGUAGCAGUGAAAUGCGUAGAGAUGUGGAGGAACACCGAUGGCGAAGGCAGCCUCCUGGGCCAGCACUGACGCUCAUGCACGAAAGCGUGGGGAGCAAACAGG